CCGCCCAUCGCGCCAGCACGGGCGGGUGCGGUCUGUGAGCCGCGCUCCGGUCAGGCCGGGGCUCGCACGGCCCAGCCCGGGGCUCGCACGGCCCAGCCCGGCCCCGUCGCCCCUCGCCGCCUUGCCCGGGCGCGGCGGGGCCGGAGCCGCGGGUGUCCCAUGACGUCAGCGCGGCCGUAGGUGCCCGGUGACGUCACACCGCAGCGGCCUUCCCGCGUCGGCCGGCAGGGGGCGCCGGGGGCGCGGCAGGCGGGGUGUGACGUCACGCGCGUGAGGCGCGGCGGGCGCGGGGCCCGGGGCCCGGCCCGGCCCGGGCGGUUUUGUAAGAGAUUUCGUAAGGGUUUCAUAACCCGCAGCGCUGCCAGGGACGCGGCAGCUGGCACCGACUGCCUCCCGACUCAUCCGCCGCAUGAACCGGCCUGAUUUACGGCCGUAAUGAAGGAGUGGGCACGGCUCCAAACAGACCCACAUGCGUUUCUUGGCGCCCCGUCAAGCGCUUCCUUCUGAAAUUCCCGACAAUGUUGGAAAGUGCCGUGAGUUCAGUGAAAACGGGGCUUUGGUCAAACAGCCGGGUAGCGUUUCAUGCACACAAAGUGACCUCUGUGCACUCGUAACCGCACAGAAAUAGCCUCAGUGGAAAAGCAGGAGAGGGAAACUUCCAGAAACAGGUUCUGUGACACCGUGACAUCGCUGGCGCCCCUCUGCCGUGCCAGAAAUCCCAGUCCUGUGCCAGGACUCACAGGCAGUGAACAUCCCCUGUGCAUCCCGAACAUCAAAUCCAGCAGCUCUGGUACAGAGAAGCUACUAUUUAAUGGUAAACACCAGCUUCAGCCAGCAGCAAAUACUUAAAUGAGAGCUGUUAAGAGAAUUAAUUUUUUGCUGGGCAUACCUGUCUUGAUUCUAUUUUCCCUGACUCUUUAACCUCAUGGACUAUUCCUGAACAUGGUUAACACGCUGCUGAUCUGUCAGAGUGCACAGAGUUAUUGCUGGAAGAUUGUGAGGCAGCUCUAAAUCCAUUGUAGUCUGAAUAGCCACCGAGUGAUUUUUGCAACCGGUAUUGGUUACCACAGCUACAAUUACACUGCACAGCUCUCCAGGAUGUGAUUUCAAUAAAGCCAGUCCAGUGGCUCAGGUAAUAGAGAUGUCCAAACCCAAAAACCUGAGAACAAUUGAGAGUGCAAAUGUCCUGCUGUACACCUGUGCACUCACCAGUACUUUAUGUGAACAGUGAGGAAAGCCAAGGACAUCAUUCACAGGAAGAGGAAGCUCUCAACAGGAGUUGUGCAGUUUCCUUGACUUGCAGAGUUCAGGCAGUUGGAUUAUGGCUCUACAAACAUCUCGUCUGUGUCAGGAGUGGGAGCAGCAGCUGCCACCAGGUGUUAGACUGAGCGCAGGUUCACGGUGGUGCACGGCUCGUGGAUGAAGGGGACUGUGCUGUUGUCUGGGAAACAGUCUCUGAAACCCUGAGAAUGUGACAGAUCCCAGCCAGAUAAUGUUUGCUCUUGCAAGCAUCACAAAUGUGCAUGUGAUCAAGUAGGCAGAUGAUAAUCACAUGUUAUCACCCACAACUCAUGAGCAAGCACAGUAACAGCACAAUUAAAGACAAAACCACAAAUUUUAAAGUACUUUGAAAAUGCUGAUGAUUUUGUGUUGUUUGGAGAUAAUCAUGUUUCUCCCCCAGUGAUCCUUGUGUAUUUCAAAAGAUGACAACAGUUCUUAUAAAAACAUUCUCAAACAUAUGUUGGUGCAACUUUCAGUGCAAAGCCUGAAGAACCAGUGACGACAGGUCAUGGUCAGAUUUAUGUAUUAAACCACAAACAUAACUCAUGGUCUUCAGACCUUGCUCCCGUGUCCAAAAUUUCUAUCAAACUCUUUGUUUCAGAAAUCUUGUGCUCCAUCAGCUAUCUUUGGGCAUGGUUUAAAGAAAUCACAACCUGGAAAUAAAAGCUGUCACUUUGUCAUACACAAAGUACCUCAUGGAAGUGGCCACUUAGUCAUCAGUGCUGACAUCUCACUGUCACCAAGACAAUGAUCGGAUCAAUUAUCAACCAAACAGUUUUGAGGCACGUAGGCUUUCAUGUGCCCAUGGCUAACCACAGAGCUCUGCUGAAGGAAAGCCAUUAAAUCAUUUUUCUUCAAAGUUUUGUGGGCCAGAGAAGGUGGAUCCUAGAUUUAGGAGUGUUUGUGCUGUCCUUAGUGCUGGGAUUGUAUUUGUUAUGCAGGGGGAGGAUCCAGUCUCAGCAACUGAGAGCACAAGACCUCCUCUCUGUGACCGCAGUCCUCAGAUCUUUAAUAGGAACAGCAGCUUAAGGCUCAGUCCCAGCCUCUC